GAUGAACGCUGACAGCAUGCUUAACACAUGCAAGUCAACUGUGGCGGACGGGUGAGUAACGCGUAAAGAACUUGCCUCACAGCUAGGGACAACAUUUGGAAACGAAUGCUAAUACCUGAUACUGUGAGAGAGCUUUGGGUCCCAUUAGCUAGUUGGAGAGGUAACGGCUCACCAAGGCGAUGAUGGGUAGCCGGCCUGAGAGGGUGAUCGGCCACAAGGGGACUGGGACACGGCCCUUACUGCUACGGGAGGCAGGAGUGGGGAAUAUCGGACAAUGGACCAAAGUCUGAUCCAGCAAUUCGGUGUGCACGAUGAAUUUUUCGGAAUGUAAAGUGUUGUCAGUUGGGAAGCGGUACCAACAGAAGAAGCGAUGGCUAAAUACGUGCCAGCAGCCGCGGUAAUUC
rnacentral:rRNA from 1 species